UAACAAUAGCACAAAGGAGCGU
rnacentral:miRNA from 1 species